rnacentral:rRNA from 1 species
UUACCUACGGGACGCAGCAGUGGGGAAUAUUGCACAAUGGGGGAAACCCUGAUGCAGCGACGCCGCGUGAGUGAAGAAGUAUUUCGGUAUGUAAAGCUCUAUCAGCAGGGAAGAAAAUGACGGUACCUGACUAAGAAGCCCCGGCUAACUACGUGCCAGCAGCCGCGGUAAUACGUAGGGGGCAAGCGUUAUCCGGAUUUACUGGGUGUAAAGGGAGCGUAGACGGUGAUGCAAGUCAGAAGUGAAAGCCCGCGGCUCA